UACGUAGGGCGCAAGCGUUGUCCGGAAUUAUUGGGCGUAAAGAGCUCGUAGGCGGUUUGUCGCGUCUGCUGUGAAAACCUAAGGCUCAACCUUGGGCUUGCAGUGGGUACGGGGCAGACUAGAGUGCGGUAGGGGGUGACUGGAAUUCCUGGUGUAGCGGUGGAAUGCGCAGAUAUCAGGAGGAACACCGAUGGCGAAGGCAGGUCACUGGGCCGCAACUGACGA
rnacentral:rRNA from 1 species